GAGGGAGACUCGAGAAGAUGUGGGUGGCGCACGGGAGUGCAAAGUCAUCCCACAAGGAGCUGGAGACCGGUGACUUAGGGAGUGCUGAAGCGGAAGCCAAUGGUGCACGAGGAGAUGUUCUCUAGUAGUGGUUAAGUGGGGUUUCUCUCUGUCAAGAUAACAAAUUAAUUUCAUUCCUCUAUCUUUGUUACUUAACAGGAGCACAUCCUCUAGAAUGGUCUUGAGGAGAUGUUCUCUAGCGAUACUGGGGGCUCUCUCUUUCUCUCUCUGGAUGAUGAGAGAG
rnacentral:lncRNA from 1 species